GCCGCGUAGCAUGGCAUAGGCACGUACACGCUAGCAUCCACGGAGCAGUGACCGAUCGCCCACGGCAAAUGGUCGAUUGACAUAUAUACCAGGCCGGCGUAUUCACGGGGGGGACACGGCCGUGGGGUUCAUCGUAUACAUCCGUGCAGGGUGCCGUCGGGUACGUGCACAUGGAUGCCCGAACCAACGGAUCUGCCGCUGCAAUGGACGACGCAUGAGUCUCGUACGCCUUGGCCCAUGCGAUGGCAUCGCCUAAAUUACUGCUACUAGGUUCGAGUGCAUUUUUUUACUGUACGUUAUGAGCAUAUGUAUUGAAUUGUCUAAUUUAUAUAUAAAAAACUAAUACAAUGCCCCUGCGUUGCCAAUUAUUGCAAAAACUGUUACAACAUGCGAAGAACUAGUGGCAAAUCAGUAUGAUGGCCGCCCCUGCGUUUUAAAUGCACAAGAGGUAAAUUCAAAUUAGCAAUCCUGCUCAUGAGGAAGGUACCUGUCUGUCUUCGUAUAAAACGAGCAAUCCACUUCACCUUGUAACAUGGGAGAAAAUGUGCUGAGCAAUACAAGCUAUUCAGGUACAGUGAAUGCUAUAGUACUACACUAAAGCGAUCCAUGAUGAUACAGUAGUAGCAGAGUAGGAGGCAUACUUUGGUAGAUAGAUUUUUCUAAGAAAUAGGAGUUACCCAGAGAUAACAAUCUUUAUCCAUAAAAAAUCUCUUAUACCCCAAGUAAGCUUAGGUCAGACUUUUAACUUUACAUUUUUUCCAUAUAUUUUGCAACAUAUAUAUUGAUAAGGUUUCCAAAUAAAAUAUGUGGAUAAAACAGAAAUUUACUGUAUCUAGUGUUGUAGCAAUUAAAAGAAGAUAACUGAAGUUUACUGCUCUAGCUAAACAACCAUUUGGUAACGUACGGGUCUUAUAGGAAGCCCUUUGCAUUAUGUGCCUCGACCGGGGCAGUUGGUGCAUAUGUGUCUUCGCUAGAACAGAAUCAUCUGCCCCACUAAUGUUUCCUUUGCAAUCAAAGGUGGUGUCUUAAUAUCUUCUGGUUUUGGAUGAUUGAACUUGCAAGUGGCACCAAAUUUACAUCUGCAUCUUACCGAACAAACGGGUUCAAAGUAUGCAUUCAUACUGUUGCUGAUAAAGAAAAAUGGAAAUAUGCAUUACAUCUAGAGGUACUUUGAGUAAGGAAUAUGUAAGAUUCAACUUUGCAAACAGGGGAGCCAAAAAGGCAACUUGUUGAUUUUUGCAACGACUAAUAGUAAUAGAGCUAGCUGUCUGGAACCAUGAAGUUCCCGUGAUUGUAUUUUGCAACGACAAAUAAAAACGAUUUCUCCCAAGUUUAGUACAGCGCUACAUCACUCAAUAUCCAAUGUGGUGCUCUACAUCACUAACGGGCCGCAGCCGCAUGAUUUCAGAAAAAAAAGGUAUCAGCGAAAAGUAUCUAAAAUAAUCAGAGAUGAUUUACAUAUAAUUAUAGUCAUCAUCUAGGUGGUUCUUUUAUGUUCUUUACUUAUGAACCAAGAUCAAAAUUAACAUAGAAUGGUAUAUAUCAGAAACGGAUGUAUCUAGUUUAGUUUGUGCAGGAUGAUCGAGUAAUUUGCUAUGUUGUAUUCGACAGGGGAUUGACAAUCGACUAACCUACCAGAAAAUCAGGCGCACCAAUCUCAGUGCAGCGUGAUGGGGGAGGAUGAUGGUGGCACCAAUCGAAGAGGCUGUGGUAGGUGAGGAGUGCUAAGACGAACAUGCCUUCGUCGAUGGCCACCAUUGAAAGCAACACCAUACACGUGUUGACACUAGUACACUUAAAC
rnacentral:lncRNA from 1 species